UUUGCCAAUGACGCUGCCGGCGGCAGAAGUUCAGAGAUACGUGCAUGCGGAGUUCGCAGAUGGGCUGUGUGGUGCUUUCGAUGAUGCUGUCUGUGUUUGUCAUGUGCACGCCGGCACCGUUAGUCCCGUCGUUGGCUAGGCAGGGCACUGCUCGACUCUGUGGACCUUCUCUGGGUCCAACAGAGCAAACACUUGCUGCAGGUGGGUACCAGACACACCCUGUCCAGCGACAGGGGAUCACAGGGAGAGGGAAGAGGGCCUGCCAAGUUCAGAUUUUAUUCUGACGAAGUUCACCAGGAGCCUCUUGUCAAUGAUAACCUGCUGUUGCAUUGCAGCAUGUUGUAUCCCACCAGGAAGUUCGCCAUGCGGGCGUCGGGAGUCAACACGUCUUUGAAUUGUGAAGGGAUAGCUGGACUCCCUGAGUUGCCUCUGAACUCCUCCUCGCCGCCGUGUUCUGAGAAGUUCGGUUGGCAUUGUCUUUACGGCGAAGGAGGGAGGUCACGUUCCUGUAAAAAAGGAGAGGGGAAAAUGGCAGUGAUACACUUGUUUAUUUUAAACAGUUGGUGCACUUGAUAUGGAGUUCACUGGGUGAUCGAAGCUAGCAUGAAGUUUACUUAUACUACUUUGUGGAGUUCACUUCUCCUAUUCGUGAUGUUCAUGUAUCCUGAUGCUUCACUUUAGAUUUUCCCUACUAGAUGGAUUUUCAUUUGAGUCUGCUAGAUGAAUUAUUUCCGAAGUUCACUUCCAAUGUUUGUGCUGCGGGGUGGAUAAUUUCUGUAUAUAAACUAUGUGUUAAGUUAACUGUUAUGUAUCUGGUGGAGUAGUACACUUAUUUGUGAAAAAGAUGUGCAGCCUCC